rnacentral:rRNA from 1 species
AUUGAACGCUGGCGGCAGGCCUAACACAUGCAAGUCGAGCGGAUGAAGGGAGCUUGCUCCUGGAUGCAGCGGCGGACGGGGGAGUAAUGCCUAGGAAUCUGCCUGGAAGUGGGGGAUAACGUCCGGAAACGGGCGCUAAUACCGCAUACGACGUGAGGGAGAAAGUGGGGGAGCUUCGGACCUCACGCUAUCAGAUGAGCCUAGGUCGGAUUAGCUAGUUGGUGGGGUAAAGGCCUACCAAGGCGACGAUGCGUAACUGGUCUGAGAGGAUGAUCAGUCACCCUGGAAGUGAGACACGGUCCAGACUCCUGCGGGGGGCAGCAGUGGGGAAUAUUGGACGAGGGGCGAAAGCCUAAUCCAGCCAUGCCGCGUGUGUGAUGAAGGUCUUCGGAUUGUAAAGCACUUUAAGUUGUGAGGAAGGGCAGUAAUUUAAUACGUGGCUGUUUUGACGGUACCAACAGAAUAAGCACCGGCUAACUUCGUG